rnacentral:tRNA from 1 species
GCGCCCAUAGCUCAGCUGGAUAGAGCACUAGACUUCGAAUCUAGGGGUCGGGAGUUCGAAUCUUCCUGGGCGCGCCA